CUUAUCAGGGUUUACUCCCAUUCUUUCUUUGCUCAUCUCUUAAAUGUGAUCACUUUGUGUGCAGACAUGGGAUCUCUGACUUCCAAGAACUGGUGGGAAAGAAAAGCUAAGCUGCGAAAUGGUAGAGAGGGACUCACAGAAACGGCACGACUGGCAGCUCCGAGCUACUGAAGUUCUGCAGAUGGCAUCAACACCCCCACCUGACAGGGAUGAGCUUGGCUCCUGUCUCCACAUUCUGGGACUUUCUCACACAACAGAUUCUGGGAGUUCCUGGCAUAGGGGACUCAAAAUAAAAUUCAUCCAACAGUG